rnacentral:sRNA from 1 species
AGUAAGACAUUAGGACUUCCAUAUUAUAUUUUGAUCGGGUUUUCCACGGUGAAACGUGCCGACAAAUGGUGGGUACUGAAUAUGCCUUGUAAUACAGUCCGUGAUGAUUUUACUAGAAAGCCUUGUGAAAGUAGCCUAACGGUGAAAUUAGUAGCAAGGUUUU